UACGUAGGGCGCAAGCGUUGUCCGGAAUUAUUGGGCGUAAAGAGCUCGUAGGUGGCGUGUCGCGUCUGCCGUGAAAGCCCAUGGCUUAACUGUGGGUUUGCGGUGGAUACGGGCAGGCUGGAGGCUGGUAGGGGCAAGCGGAAUUCCUGGUGUAGCGGUGAAAUGCGCAGAUAUCAGGAGGAACACCGGUGGCGAAGGCGGCUUGCUGGGCCAGUUCUGACGCUGAGGAGCGAAAGCCAGGGGAGCAAACGGG
rnacentral:rRNA from 1 species